GGGAAAGUGGCUCAGUGGUAGAGUGCUUGCCUUAAAUGCAUGAGGCCCUGGGUUGGAUUCCCCAGCACCA
rfam:Dipodomys ordii contig_20547, whole genome shotgun sequence.